AGCCUCCCGUAUCCGCGCUGAGAUUUCGUCAGCGAUCAACCCGUUGGGGCUGAUGCAACUCCCCAAGCAAGUGAAGUG
rnacentral:pre_miRNA from 1 species